GGCCCAAUGGUCUAGUAGUAUGAUACGUGCUUCGGGUGUUCAGUCACUCGCUCCUUCACAGGAGCAUCGUUGCACGGGGUCCCGGGUUCAAUUCCCGGUUGGGCCC